rnacentral:rRNA from 1 species
GGAGGGUGCAAGCGUUGUUCGGGAAUCAUUGGGCGUAAAGCGCGUGUAGGCGGCCUAGUAAGUCUGAUGUGAAAGCCCGGGGGCUCAACCCCCGGAAGUGCAUUGGAUACUGCUUGGCUAGAGGGCGAGAGAGGGAAGCGGAAUUCCUGGUGUAGGGGUGAAAUCCGUAGAUAUCAGGAGGAACAUCUGUGGCGAAGGCGGCUUCCUGGCUCGCUACUGACGCUGAGACGCGAAAGCGUGGGGAGCAAACAGGAUUAGAUACCCUGGUAGUCCACGCCCUAAACGAUGGAUACUAGACGUCGGAAUUCCUAAUAGUUUCGGUGUCGCAGCUAACGCAUUAAGUAUCCCGCCUGGGGAUUACGGUCGCAAGAUUA